rnacentral:tRNA from 1 species
GCCUGGGUGGCCCAGUCAGCUGAGCAUCUGACUUUGGCUCAGAACAUGAUCUCACAGCUCGUGGGUUCGAGCCCCACGUCGGGCC